rnacentral:rRNA from 1 species
CACGUGGGUAACCUGCCCUCGAGCGGGGGAUAACAUUCCGAAAGGAGUGCUAAUACCGCAUAAGACCACGCUUCGAAAGAAGAAGGGGUAAAAGCUGGCCUCUGUAUACAAGCUAGCACUCGAGGAUGGGCCCGCGGCGCAUCAGCUAGUUGGUGGGGUAAUGGCUCACCAAGGCUAAGACGCGUAGCUGGUCUGAGAGGAUGAUCAGCCACACUGGAACUGAGACACGGUCCAGACUCCUACGGGAGGCAGCAGUGGGGAAUCUUGCGCAAUGGGCGAAAGCCUGACGCAGCGACGCCGCGUGAGUGAUGAAGGCCUUCGGGUUGUAAAGCUCUGUGGGGAGGGACGAAUAAGUGCAGCCUAAUACGCUGCAUGAUGACGGUACCUCCUUAGCAAGCACCGGCUAACUCUGUGCCAGCAGCCGCGGUAA